GCUCUCAAAGGAAAAUAGCCUUCCACUGGCCUUAGGAGCCACCCCCUCUUGGUGCAAAUCCAAGUGAGAGUA
rnacentral:tRNA from 1 species